CCAAUUAAUUUAACUUGGGAGUCAGAACAUGGGUGAUAAGGUCCGUGUUCGAAAGGGAAACAGCCCAGACCACCAGCUAAGGUCCCAAAAUAUAUGUUAAGUGGAAAAGGAUGUGGCGUUGCCCAGACAACUAGGAUGUUGGCUUAGAAGCAGCCAUCAUUUAAAGAGUGCGUAAUAGCUCACUAGUCGAGUGACACUGCGCCGAAAAUGUACCGGGGCUAAACAUAUUACCGAAGCUGUGGAUUGUCCUUUGGACAAUGGUAGGAGAGCGUUCUAAGGGCGUUGAAGCAUGAUCGUAAGGACAUGUGGAGCGCUUAGAAGUGAGAAUGCCGGUGUGAGUAGCGAAAGACGGGUGAGAAUCCCGUCCACCGAUUGACUAAGGUUUCCAGAGGAAGGCUCGUCCGCUCUGGGUUAGUCGGGUCCUAAGCUGAGGCCGACAGGCGUAGGCGAUGGAUAACAGGUUGAUAUUCCUGUACCACCUAUAAUCGUUUUAAUCGAUGGGGGGACGCAGUAGGAUAGGCGAAGCGUGCGAUUGGAUUGCACGUCUAAGCAGUAAGGCUGAG
rnacentral:rRNA from 1 species